rnacentral:tRNA from 1 species
CCUAGAAAAAGAAAGAAAAUCCGGUAUUAUCCAUAAAGAUGGAGAUCACCUAACGAU